rnacentral:rRNA from 1 species
AUUGAACGCUGGCGGCAGGCCUAACACAUGCAAGUCGAGCGGAUGAAGGGAGCUUGCUCCUGGAUUCAGCGGCGGACGGGUGAGUAAUGCCUAGGAAUCUGCCUGGUAGUGGGGGAUAACGUCCGGAAACGGGCGCUAAUACCGCAUACGUCCUGAGGGAGAAAGUGGGGGAUCUUCGGACCUCACGCUAUCAGAUGAGCCUAGGUCGGAUUAGCUAGUUGGUGGGGUAAAGGCCUACCAAGGCGACGAUCCGUAACUGGUCUGAGAGGAUGAUCAGUCACACUGGAACGGAGACACGGCCCAGACUCCUACGGGAGGCAGCAGUGGGGAAUUUUGAACAAUGGGCGAAAGCCUGACCCAGCCAUGCCGCGUGUGUGAAGAAGGUCUUCGGAUUGUAAACCUCUUUAAUUUGGGAAGAAGGGCAGUAAGUUAAUCCCUUCUUGUUUUGACGUUACCAAAAAAAAAAGCCCCGGCUAACUUCGUG